rnacentral:misc_RNA from 1 species
AACGCACAUGGCGCUUCCGGAAAUGAUCUGGGAGCAUGCUUGUUUCAGUGUCUGUGGUAACCCACCCUCCGCGUCCCUUGGCGUGCGAAAGCGCGCGGGGGCGGCGCGGGAGCCAUGGGGCGUCCGGCGCGUGCGCUGGUCCCCUGAAGUCCCCCGAGUGGGCACGCGGCUUGGUGGCGAGCGGAUGCGAGAGGUAUGCCGCCGCGCGACCGUAACUGGCGCCCUGGUGUGGUGGUGUGGCGGCCCACGCGGCCUGCUGCAACCCGCCCCAAGGCGUGCGCGGCGUACGGCGCCUCUCACACGCGUCCAAUUUCCCGCCAAUGUUCCCAGUGUGCCGAGGGCCUGCGCACUUGCGUGCGUGUGCCCCACCCACAACUUAAUUACCCAAACAACCAGACCUGAAAUCAAGUAGGAUCACCCGCUGAAUUUAA